GACGAACGCUGGCGGCGUGCUUAACACAUGCAAGUCGAACGGAAAGGCUCUGCUUUUGUGGGGUGCUCGAGUGUCGAACGGGUGAGUAACACGUGAGUAACCUGCCCUUUACUUUGGGAUAACUUCAGGAAACUGGGGCUAAUACCGGAUAGGAGCUCCUGCUGCAUGGUGUGGGUUGGAAAGUUUCGGCGGUUGGGGAUGGACUCGCGGCUUAUCAGCUUGUUGGUGGGGUAGUGGCUUACCAAGGCUUUGACGGGUAGCCGGCCUGAGAGGGUGACCGGCCACAUUGGGACUGAGAUACGGCCCAGACUCCUACGGGAGGCAGCAGUGGGGAAUAUUGCACAAUGGGCGGAAGCCUGAUGCAGCAACGCCGCGUGAGGGAUGACGGCCUUCGGGUUGUAAACCGCUUUCGCCUGUGACGAAGCGUGAGUGACGGUAAUGGGUAAAGAAGCACCGGCUAACUACGUG
rnacentral:rRNA from 1 species